CCUGGUCAAUGAUGACUCCUUUUUAAAUGGUGACUGUUGGAUGAAUCCUGCGGAUAUGGGGCUGAGGCCAGGC